rnacentral:rRNA from 1 species
GAUGAACGCUAGCGGGAGGCUUAACACAUGCAAGUCGAGGGGCAGCAUAGGGUAGCAAUACUCUGAUGGCGACCGGCAAACGGGUGAGUAACGCGUAUGCAACCUACCCUGUACAGGGGGAUAACCCGGAGAAAUUCGGACUAAUAUCCCGUAAUAAUAUCCGGAGGCAUCUUUGGAUAUUUAAAGUUUCGACGGUACGGGAUGGGCAUGCGUAACAUUAGCUGGUUGGUAAGGUAACGGCUUACCAAGGCUAUGAUGUUUAGGGGUCCUGAGAGGGUGGUCCCCCACACUGGUACUGAGACACGGACCAGACUCCUACGGGAGGCAGCAGUGAGGAAUAUUGGUCAAUGGGCGCAAGCCUGAACCAGCCAUCCCGCGUGCAGGAAGACGGCCCUAUGGGUUGUAAACUGCUUUUCCAGGGAGAGAAACUUACGCACGUGUUGCGUGACUGACGGUACCCUGGGAAUAAGCAUCGGCUAACUCCGUGCCAGCAGCCGCGGUAAGCACGAGAGUAC